CUGACACCGGGACGCGAAGAACCUCGGGCUGCACGACGGUCGCCACGGCAGCGCAGCUGCCUGGUCCGGGGGGAGCGAAUGGCGAGACCGACCCGGCUUCAU
rnacentral:ncRNA from 1 species